UGUAAAAUUUCCUCUGGGUCUAACGAAGCUGUGUUCCUUACUGGGUGUAGGACUGCAGGUGUUCAUCAUCACCUCUCUUCCCACCCCAUUGUUCUGGAGAGAGUGGUUUCUCCAGCCACUGUUGAACUUGGGGAAACACUCUAAGAGAGCGAUGCUGAUGUUGAGGUUGAAUAACUGCGUCAGGUGUUCAGUGGAGGUCACAUACUGAUCUGAACUUAAAGAGAAGGUGCUGCUAGAAUACCAUUUCACUCGGUGUAGGAGGAAGCCACCGUCUAUUACAGUGAAGCACGUUUUUACCAACCUGGGGUUGGUUUUAUACCAUUGAUUACCCCCAUCAAGUAAUCAAGAAUAUUGUUCAUCAUGCUCCUCCAUGUAUUUCACAAUCUCCUCCACAGCGAUUUCAAAAUUCUCGUCUCUGGCCUGUAGGUAUCCAGUUAAUUGUUGCAACAUGAACUUUUUUGGUACUCCAUAAUACCACUGAAUGACUGGAGUGAGUGGACACCUAUGUGUGAAUUUACGGAGAACAAAAUUGGCACAGUUAGCCAAGUAGGUUAUCAACAAGCACUCAAAGGACGGCAUCCAGUAAAUUUUUGAGAAAAAAAUGCCCGAAGAGCAGACUUCAUAUUAUAUAGGAUACAACAAAGGUUCAAGAAGUAUGUUAAUGCCGUUAGUUCCAUCCUUAUUAUGGUUGUUGAAAGAAAGACUCUAAUUUUGAGACUGUUGGAGCUGGAUCCUUGAAGGAGUUGACGCUUUGUCCAAAUUCAUGGAACGUCGGCACCAAGGGAGAGCGCGGUUGAUCACAUGCACAGACUAGGAUCGGUGGACUGGUUGAGGUCCGUGGGAGGGGACGAAACUUCGACUUAUCGAAGCGACCAAAAGG